CACGUGCAGGACCCUGCACUUGCCCGUGUUGAACUUCGUGAGGUUCCUCUCCGCCCAUCUCACCAGCCUGUCCAGGACCCUCUUAAGGGCAGCACAGCCCUCU